UACACCAGGAAGCAGUGGCUAGCUGGAUGCAAUCACGCUAAUGCGUUAUUUUGCUUUCCGUGUUUGUUAUUCAAAACUGCUGGGACAGAUAAGGCAUGGAUGAGUCAGGAGUUACAGACAUGAAACAUUUUUCUGAGAAGGUGAAGAAACACGAGUCAUCCCGGGCACACAUGGACAACAACACGGUGAAGCUAGCCAUGCUAGGCAGCAGAGCUAACAUUGCCAUGCAGGGAACAACAGCAGCUGGGUGCAGAGGUUUUUCACACCAUCCUGAGCCAUGCAAAAGAAGAUUCUUGUCACCACACCCAUGACCACAGCCGAAUCAGAAAGGUGCUUUUCUACUUUAAAGAGGAUUAAGACUUUCCUUGAGGAACACCAUGACACAGGAUGGGCUGAAUGCUCUUGCCAUGCUCUCCAUGGAAAAAAAAGCUUGUCACAAACAUUCCUGACUUCAAUAAAAAGCUAAUCGAGAGCUUUGCCACUCAGAAGGACAGAAGGGCAAAAUUUCUGUACAAAUGAGGUAUCACACACACACACACACACACACACACACACACACA